rnacentral:lncRNA from 1 species
GCUCCGCCAACGACGACGGCUGGAGCGGCGGCCUCGGGCGCCCGCAGCAGGGACACUACAAAGACAGCGACCUCCUCCGCCGCCGCCGCCUUCUCCUCCUCCUCCCUGCGCCGCCCUCGCCGCUGUUGGGGCCGCUCAUCUAACCCCGCCACCCGCGGAGUGUGAGGAGGAGGCGGUGCCGCCGCCGCCGCUGCUGCUGCCACCACCGGAGUUGCCCGCAAUGGGAGGCGGCCGGCCGCACUGAGCAUGCGCGCCGCUCCGCACAUGCUCAGUAAUAGGACCCGUCUCUCCAGCCAGCCCCACCCCCUCCGCCGCGGCUCCCUCCGCCUCCGAGCUGUGGAUGUCCAGGGGCUGAGUGGUGCCAAAGCGACAAGCAAUCCGCUGCUCCGGGUUUUACGAGCAGCACGAGGAAGAGCCUGGACCGGGCUGGGGAAGCUGUCAGUGGAGGCGGUCUUCAGUGAGUCCGGUGGGAUGCUACUUCUUGCUGGAGGAGAUUUCUGCAAUAGCUGAAGCCCGUGGGUGUCCCAUGGACUGUAGUCACCGCUUUUGCCCCCAGACACUGUGGUGAUGGCUAUCACUCCCAUGAUCUCCGGUUUUAUUUGUGUUAAGCUACAUUCCUAGAAGUGGAAACACCAAGAAAACAAGUCUUCUCUUCAAGACUUUAACACGAUGGAUAUUGCCCAGGAAAGAUGAUUUCUAGUUCAAACCCCAAGAACAAUUAUGAAAGUAUUUGUGUCAUAGUACUCUCACCAUGAUCAAAAUAAAGAUAAAAUAGUGAGCAUUAGAUGC